rnacentral:snRNA from 1 species
AUACUUACCUGGACAGGGUUAAUGAGUGAUCAGGAAGACUCAUGGCCUAGAGCAGUGACUUGCAUUGCACUUGGAAGGGGUGCUGCUUUAAGGUCUCCCCAAGAGGGAGAGCCUACGUCAUAAUUUGUGGCACUGGGGGCUUGCGUACGCGCAGCCCCUAU